rnacentral:rRNA from 1 species
UACGGGGGGGGCAAGCGUUGUUCGGAAUUACUGGGCGUAAAGGGCUCGUAGGCGGCCAACUAAGUCAGACGUGAAAUCCCUCGGCUUAACCGGGGAACUGCGUCUGAUACUGGAUGGCUUGAGAUCGGGAGAGGGAUGCGGAAUUCCAGGUGUAGCGGUGAAAUGCGUAGAUAUCUGGAGGAACACCGGUGGCGAAGGCGGCAUCCUGGACCGACACUGACGCUGAGGAGCGAAAGCCAGGGGAGCAAACGGG